AGAGUUUGAUCCUGGCUCAGAACGAACGCUGGCGGCAUGCCUAACACAUGCAAGUCGAACGAGACCUUCGGGUCUAGUGGCGCACGGGUGCGUAACGCGUGGGAAUCUGCCCUUGGGUUCGGAAUAGCAGCUAGAAAUGGCUGCUAAUACCGAAUAAUGACGUAAGUCCAAAGAUUUAUCGCCCAAGGAUGAGCCCGCGUAGGAUUAGCUAGUUGGUGAGGUAAAAGCUCACCAAGGCGACGAUCCUUAGCUGGUCUGAGAGGAUGAUCAGCCACACUGGGACUGAGACACGGCCCAGACUCCUACGGGAGGCAGCAGUGGGGAAUAUUGGACAAUGGGCGAAAGCCUGAUCCAGCAAUGCCACGGGAGUGAUGAAGGCCUUAGGGUUGUAAAGCUCUUUU
rnacentral:rRNA from 1 species